AUUGAACGCUGGCGGCAGGCCUAACACAUGCAAGUCGAACGAGUGGGGGAGGGGUGAGUAAUGUCUGGGAAACUGCCCGAUGGGGGGGGAUCAAUACUGGACACGGUAGCUAAUACCGCAUACCAUCGGGUGUGCCGAGAUGGGAUUAGCUUGUAGGUGGGGUAACGGCUCACCGAGGCGACGAUCCCUAGCUGGUCUGAGAGGAUGAUCAGUCACACUGGAACUGAGACACUGUCCAGACUCCUACGGGAGGCAGCAGUGGGGAAUAUUGCACAAUGGGCGCAAGCCUGAUGCAGCCAUGCCGCGUGUAUGAAGAAGGCCUUCGGGUUGUAAAGUACUUUCAGCGAGGAGGCGUUACUAGCAGAAGAAGCACCGGCUAACUCCGUGCCAGCCGCCGCGGUAAUAC
rnacentral:rRNA from 1 species